rnacentral:lncRNA from 1 species
GAAAAACACAAGUAGAAAAUUGAAAUGCAGUGAUAGUUUGUUAAGUACAUGUAUACAAUGUAUAUGUAUGUUAUGUGAAUAGACUUGUACAGUACAUUUGUUUGUUUUGUAAUGUAUGUUAUAGGGAUAGAUAUAAAAGUUUUACAGUAUUUUUGUUAAAGAUAAGAUAUUGCAGUAUUGGUGCUUAAAGUUGAUGAUUAUUAUGCAGUUAUUUUUAUUUCUUUCUAUUUGGUAUUUGGUGCAGUAAAGUGCUGAUUUCAUAUGCCAUGAGUGUUGACAAGUGUUUGGUGCAACUGGGACUAUUCCAGAAUAGACUGAUUUUCAGAAAUGAGGUUUUUGGAAAGAUUUUACUGAAAGAGGGUCUAGAAAGGGGUUUUACAUAAAUGAGGGACUGAAGGGGGUUAACAGAAAUGAUAGAUCUGGAAAGGGGUUUAACAGAAUUGGGGGUCUGAAUGGGGUUUACAAGAAAUUAGGGUGUAGAUUGGGUUUAACAGAAAUGAGGGUCUGAAUGGGGUUAACAGAAAUGAGGGUCUGGAAAGGGGUUUAUCAGAAUUUGGGGUCUGGAAAGGAGUUUAACAGAAAUGGAGGUCUGGAUGGGGUUAAUGGAAAUGGAAAAAAGUUAAGUAUAGAGAAAAAUAGGUAAAAAAAAGAAAGAAAUUAAAGAACAGAGCAUAAUUGGAUGUAAAGAUAUAAAAAAUACAGAAAAAAGUUGAGAAUAUAAGGUGGAGGACCUGUCCAGACGCUAAGAAAAUUGCAGAAGUUUGGUGUUCAAAUCAAUAUAUUAUACUCUUAUAAAUAGAUCCUUGAGAACAGGAUGCUGAAAUGCUCAUAAACAGUGUUUCAUAGAAAUAGCACAACUUUCCUUAGAAAACUAGAAUAGGCUCUAUAGAUGUGUUCUUCAUUUUAAACCCCGGAAAACUUUUGGGCAUGUUGGUGUUAUGUCAUGAAAGGUUUUAUAUUAUGUAUACCAGGCAGACCAUUUUAACAAACUAAAAUACAUUAAAAUGAUAUUUUCUUAUAUGAAUUAUUAAAAUGUUUAUCAAAAUCUCAGAUAUUUUAUAUUUUAGUGAGUAUGACUGAUAUCCUAAGUUAAUAAAAAAAAA